GAUGAACGCUAGCGGCAGGCUUAACACAUGCAAGUCGAACGGCAGCACAGGUAGCAAUACUGGGUGGCGAGUGGCGCACGGGUGCGUAACGCGUAUGCAACCUACCUCUAUCUGGGAGAUAGCCCGAAGAAAUUCGGAUUAAUACCCCAUAAUAUAUGUCUUUCGCAUGUUAGACAUAUUAAAGCUUUGGCGGAUAGAGAUGGGCAUGCGUGACAUUAGCUAGUUGGUAAGGUAACGGCUUACCAAGGCUACGAUGUCUAGGGGGUCUGAGAGGAUUAUCCCCCACACUGGUACUGAGACACGGACCAGACUCCUACGGGAGGCAGCAGUGAGGAAUAUUGGACAAUGGGCGAAAGCCUGAUCCAGCCAUGCCGCGUGCAGGAAGACGGCCCUAUGGGUUGUAAACUGCUUUUUAUAUGGGAAUAAACCCACUCUAUUUAUGGGGUGUUGAAGGUACCAGAAGAA
rnacentral:rRNA from 1 species